ACGAAAGGUGCAAGCGUUGUUCGGAUUUACUGGGCGUAAAGAGAUCGUAGGUGGUUUGUUAAGUCGGAUGUGAAAUCCCAAGGCUCAACCUUGGAACUGCAUUCGAUACUGGCAGGCUAGAGUUUGGGAGGGGUAAGCGGAAUUCCGUGUGUAGCAGUGAAAUGCGUAGAUAUACGGAGGAACACCUGAGGCGAAGGCGGCUUACUGGACCAAUACUGACACUGAGGAUCGAAAGCGUGGGUAGCAAACAGG
rnacentral:rRNA from 1 species